rnacentral:lncRNA from 1 species
CCACAUGAUACCAAGAUAUGCGCAGUCAUUUCGUUUCUGUGCUCCAAGCUGCAGAACUUCUUUCAAUUCAACCCCUUUCUGCCAUUAAUUUAGGAACAUCAGAAGGUUACAAUACCACUAAAAGUCAAGAGUCCAAUAACUCCUGGCAGUAUUUCUUUGGUCAGCUAUUUACUAACUACACCACCCACACAUGGUUGAUAAUUGGCAUCUUCAUUUUUAUCCUGGUCAUCCUCUGCAUUCUGUGCUGCCGACAAAGAUGUGUUCCAAAUGCCAGGGAAAAGUAAGCCUCCUGUCCUUCAUACACAUUUAAUGAAUAUGAGCACAUGUUCAUAACCAUUUUCUGAUUGUUCUCUCUGUGUCCUGUCAGUAGUUCCGAGACACCCCAGUGUGACCCUCAUGACAAUGAGGGUGUGGCCAUGUACAGCAACAUUGCUGGUGUCCCUAAUAGGGAAAAGACGAACUGCAUCACGAUGGACAGCACUGAGUCAAAGAACCCAGAUUCCAAUGAAGUUUGUUAUGCCUCGGUGAAACACAGAGAUCACAGGGAAGCGCCUCACAGGAUCAGGUGUGGACAGGGUUCGGAGUAUGCUGCCAUUGUCUUUGAUAGGUCAAGCCUCGGAACUACAGGAAAUGUCCCGGAAAGGAAGUGGGAGUAAUACUCAGUCUCUUUAUGAAAGCCAGUGAUUCGUUUGCCUCGAUCUUCUAUCAAAUCUUGGAUUCUAAUAUUGUUGUGAUGAUUGUUUUAUCUCUUCAUGACAUUUGUGAUCUCCAUUUUUGCACCACAAGCUUCUGGAAAGUUCUGCUUGGUUCUACCAGACAUAUGCAAGUGAGAGCUUCUUUGCAGUGGUUGUCUAAAAUAACAAAAACCACAUUUAUUGUUGCAUGACUUUUACAAAUUUAACACAAAGAAUACUGGUUUUAAAUAGGCUUGCAUUUUGAAUAAGGUGAGAGUUCCUUUGUACAUGUUCCAUUGUAAGAGAAAAUCAAUAUUUAUAGUUGCAUGGCUUUUAGACAUCAAACACCAAGAAUAGUGUGUUUUAAGCAGUGUUGGUUUUUGAAUGAAACCACACUUGUCAGUUUGUUUUCACCCAGUUUGCAAAAGGAUCAGCAACUGAAAAUGAGUGUAUGUUUAUUAUUGAUAUGCACAGAAUGCACAGACUUACCUAGUAUUUUUUCACUUUUACAUUUAUUAGAUGCAUUUAUUUAAAGUGGCCAACAGGUUAAAAGCAAAAAAAUACAGCAAAUACAUAAAAAUAAAAGUUUUAAAACAAGGUAUAAAGCA